rnacentral:rRNA from 1 species
ACUACGGGUGGCAGCAGUGAGGAAUAUUGGUCAAUGGGCGUAAGCCUGAACCAGCCAAGUCGCGUGAGGGAUGAAGGUUCUAUGGAUCGUAAACCUCUUUUAUAAGGGAAUAAAGUGUGGGACGUGUCCUGUUUUGUAUGUACCUUAUGAAUAAGGAUCGGCUAACUCCGUGCCAGCAGCCGCGGUAAUACGGAGGAUCCGAGCGUUAUCCGGAUUUAUUGGGUUUAAAGGGUGCGUAGGCGGGUUUUUAAGUCAGCGGUGAAAGGCUGUGGUUCAACCAUAGACUUGCCGUUGAAACUGGGAGGCUUGAGUAGGUUUGAGGCAGGCGGAAUGCGUGGUGGAGCGGUGAAAUGCUUAGAGAUCACGCAGAACCCCGAUUGCGAAGGCAGCCUGCCAAGCCAUGACUGACGCUGAUGCACGAAAGCGUGGGGAUCAAACAGGAUUAGAUACCCCUGUAGUC